rnacentral:tRNA from 3 species
GCACGAGUUCCAGAGCGGUCAAAUGGGAUGGACUCAAGAUCCAUUGGCUUAGUGCCUUCGCAGGUUCGAAUCCUGCCUCGUGCA